rnacentral:rRNA from 1 species
GCUAUACAUGCAGUCGAGCGAAUGACGAAGAAGCUUGCUUCUUCUGAUUUAGCGGCGGACGGGUGAGUAACACGUGGGCAACCUGCCCUGUAGAUUGGGAUAACUCCGGGAAACCGGGGCUAAUACCGAAUAAUCCAUUUCCUCACAUGGGGAGAUGUUAAAAGACGGCAUCUCGCUGUCACUACAGGAUGGGCCCGCGGCGCAUUAGCUAGUUGGUGAGGUAACGGCUCACCAAGGCGACGAUGCGUAGCCGACCUGAGAGGGUGAUCGGCCACACUGGGACUGAGACACGGCCCAGACUCCUACGGGAGGCAGCAGUAGGGAAUCUUCCACAAUGGACGAAAGUCUGAUGGAGCAAUGCCGCGUGAGUGAAGAAGGUUUUCGGAUCGUAAAACUCUGUUGUGAGGGAAGAACAAGUACGAGAGUAACUGCUCGUACCUUGACGGUACCUCAUUAGAAAGCCACGGCUAACUACGUGCCANCAGCCGCGGUAAUACGUAGGUGGCAAGCGUUGUCCGGAAUUAUUGGGCGUA